CAUGUUUGUAGUAGAGUGACAGCGAGUUUGGGGUAAUCGUAUCUUUGUGGUCAGGUCUCCCGUUACUGUGCUGCCCGCCCUGGUGGCAGUCACCGAGGCCAGCAGCCGCUUCCAAUACGGUGUAGGCAUUUAGCGUAAAGCUGUGUUGAGACCUCUGAAACAACCGGAUAUGACGUGUGACAUAAUCUGAAGCCGCGGCGGCCAUGUUUGAUUUGGGGAAGCA